rnacentral:rRNA from 1 species
GACGAACGCUGGCGGCGUGCUUAACACAUGCAAGUCGAACGGAAAGGCCCUGCUUUUGUGGGGUGCUCGAGUGGCGAACGGGUGAGUAACACGUGAGUAACCUGCCCUUGACUUUGGGAUAACUUCAGGAAACUGGGGCUAAUACCGGAUAGGAGCUCCUGCUGCAUGGUGGGGGUUGGAAAGUUUCGGCGGUUGGGGAUGGACUCGCGGCUUAUCAGCUUGUUGGUGGGGUAGUGGCUUACCAAGGCUUUGACGGGUAGCCGGCCUGAGAGGGUGACCGGCCACAUUGGGACUGAGAUACGGCCCAGACUCCUACGGGAGGCAGCAGUGGGGAAUAUCGCACAAUGGGCGGAAGCCUGAUGCAGCAACGCCGCGUGCGGGAUGACGGCCUUCGGGUUGUAAACCGCUUUCGCCUGUGACGAAGCGUGAGCGACGGUAAUGGGUAAAGAAGCACCGGCUAACUACGUG